GAAGAGAUAAGUGCUGAAAGCAUCUAAGCACGAAACUUGCCCCGAGAUGAGUUCUCCCUGACUCCUUGAGAGUCCUGAAGGAACGUUGAAGACGACGACGUUGAUAGGCCGGGUGUGUAAGCGCAGCGAUGCGUUGAGCUAACCGGUACUAAUGAACCGUGAGGCUUAACCUUAC
rnacentral:rRNA from 1 species